AGUCCCGUAGGGUAGUGGCCAAUCCUUCGAGCUUCUGGGGCUCGAUACCCAGGUUCGAAUCCUGGCGGGACUA
rnacentral:tRNA from 1 species